GCCUGGUUAGCCCAGUGGUGAGCGUAUGACUUUUACGGGGAAAUCAAAUCUUGUGAAGAACAUCUCAAUGUCGCGAGUUCGACCCCGCAUCAGGCC